rnacentral:rRNA from 1 species
AGGAUGAAUGCUGGCGGCGCGCCUAACACAUGCAAGUCGAGCGGAAAGGCCCUUCGGGGUACUCGAGCGGCGGACGGCUGAGUAACGCGUGGGAACAUGCCCCAAAGUGAGGAAUAACUGCCCGAAAGGGUAGCUAAUGCCGCAUAUGAUCUUAGGAUUAAAGGAUUUAUCCGCUUUGGGAGUGGCCCGCGUACGAUUAGGUAGUUGGUGAGGUAAAGGCUCACCAAGCCCACGAUCGUUAACUGGUCUGAGAGGAUGAUCAGUCAGACUGGAACUGAGACACGGUCCAGACUCCUACGGGAGGCAGCAGUGAGGAAUCUUCAACAAUGGGC